AGCACUCGGCGCUGUCAUGGCGGCCGGGAGCAGCUUCAGUGGGCACACGACAGCCGCGCGACCCGUGGCGGGGCGAGCUGUGGCAGUAGCAUCCUCACCACUCGCAGCAGCCUCAGCCGCGGCGCCCGUAGCGCCAGCAGCGGCUGCUUUUGCAAAGGCUGAGCGCAGGGGCGGGGCGGGCCAGGAAGCCAUGGAGUUCUGUGCAGCCGCGGACUCCCGGGGAGCGGACUAGGGAAACUUGGAGGCUGCGACCAGGGUUUGGCGUUGUUGUCAGCCUCGGGGAGAGAGAUUGGACAAAUAUUCUCCAAGAGGAGGAGGGCGACGCCAAGGACUUUCCACAUCAACUGCUUUGGGGUAUCUCCACAAGUUGGAAGAGGGACCCUUUCGUUUUGCAUUGCGUGUGUUGUGCUCAUUACCAGUGCAGCGACUGCCGUCCCAGGGUGACUCUGAGUUGUCCUUUAUCGUGAGCUAGCAAUGGCUAGCGAAGACAAUCGUGUCCCUUCCCCGCCACCAACAGGUGAUGACGGGGGAGGUGGAGGGAGAGAAGAAACCCCUACUGAAGGGGGUGCAUUGUCUCUGAAACCAGGGCUCCCCAUCAGGGGCAUCAGAAUGAAAUUUGCCGUGUUGACCGGUUUGGUUGAAGUUGGAGAAGUAUCCAAUAGGGAUAUUGUAGAAACUGUCUUUAACCUGGUAAGUCCAUGAAUAUUUUAUAAGCAUAUACUCUUUUCAGUGGGUUGGGGAACAAGAUCUUAAAGCUGGAGCCAUGUGGUUUACUCACACUGAUGGUGACUUUUUUCGUGUAUAGGGACACAAAAUUCUACUCACCUAAAUGAAACAAUUUCAUCUGUUUUUUAGAUUGAAGGGAAUUGUGCAAACUUAGAUGAUCCAGGUUUUGUGAAAGUGAACACAUCACUUUUGUGCUAAGGAAAUAAUUGUUGCUAUGGAAGUAUUGGGGGGAGGUUCUAGCGGAGGAGUUAUCUCUAAUUUUUUUUUUCUUGGCUUGUAUGCCUAAGUCUGCGUUUCCCUUUACCACUUUAAAUAAUUUCUUGUGACCUUUUUUUGGACUUGAGAAUUAAUGUCUUUGAUUCUGUCGAAGUUAUGUUUUGCUACAAUAAGUUUAAAAAUUUGUUUGUAGUGCUGAUGCAAGAUUAAUUUGCUGCAAAGUUAGUAUUUUUAAUUUUGACUAGUUUUAUUUUUAGACAUAACUAACAAAAGUUAAAUUGGUGAUGAAUUUAGGAUUGCAUUUAAAGUAAUCUUGUGAAAAUUGAAUGGCAAUAUGAAAAAAGGAAUUGAAGCAGAUACAGUAUAAUUUUUAUGUGUUUUAUAAAUUCAUGUCUAGCAGGAAAGCAUAGUUAGUCAUUGGAAGUUGCUGAUUAUACUAAGAUGAGCUAUGAAUGCUUUUUUUCGGGUGGGGGUGGGAGGGGGAUGAGGCCUCUCUAUGUUGCCCAGGCUGUUCUCAAACUCCUAAGUUCAAGCUAUCCUCCUGCUUCAGUCUUAUGAGUAGUUGUGGCUAUAGGCAUGCAUCACUGUAUAGGGCUUAAAUUGUUUUUAAAUUGAGGUAUAAUUCAUAUAUUAUACAAUUCUACCUUUAAUUAAUUCAUUAACUUAUUUAUUUAGAGAUGAGGUCUCACUCUGUUGCCUAGGCUAGUUUUGAAUUCCUGGGUUCAGGCGAUUCUCCCCUCUUGUCUCCUAAGUAGCUGGAACUACUGGCAUGCGCCAUUGUGCCUGGCUUGGUUAUCAUUUAUAAUGGAGACUUUUUAGAUUUCUUUAUUCCAGCCUCUCUUGCCCAUCAACUUAAAGAAUCAAAAGGAAAUCUGGCCCUAAAAUACUUCCCCCUUUUCUACCUACCCACCUGUGUUAGAGGAUAACAGGACCAAAUAUAAACAUGCAGUUAAUUGUAAUAACUGUUUAGCACCUUUCCCUUUGCCUCUUUUCAAGGUUAGGCUUGUUUUAUUCUGGGGCAGUUAAUUAUUUCUUUCACUAGACCUUCUCUAAUGGUCUGGUCACCUGCAGUACAACUUCUAGAAUAAGAAAGUAGCUAGAUGGAAUUCUGGCCGGGCGUGGUGACUCACGCCUGUAAUCCCAGCACCUCAGGAAGCCGAGGCGGGCACAUCACUUGAGGUUAGGAGUUUGAGACUGGCCUAGUCAACAUGGUGAAACCCCAUCUCUACUAAAAAUACAAAAAAAUUAGCUGGAUGCGCUUGCUUGUACCCAGGAGGUGGAGGUUGCUGUGAGCCGAGAUCGUGCCAAUGCACUCCAGCCUGGGUGGCAGAGUGAGAGACUGUUUC
rnacentral:lncRNA from 10 species